rnacentral:rRNA from 1 species
UACGGAGGAUCCGAGCGUUAUCCGGAUUUAUUGGGUUUAAAGGGAGCGUAGGUGGUUAAUUAAGUCAGCGGUGAAAGUUUGCGGCUCAACCGUAAAAUUGCAGUUGAUACUGGGUGUCUUGAGUACAGUAGAGGCAGGCGGAAUUCGUGGUGUAGCGGUGAAAUGCUUAGAUAUCACGAAGAACUCCGAUUGCGAAGGCAGCUUGCUGGACUGUAACUGACGCUGAUGCUCGAAAGUGUGGGUAUCAA